CCUACGGGAGGCAGCAGUGGGGAAUAUUGCACAAUGGGGGAAACCCUGAUGCAGCGACGCCGCGUGAGUGAAGAAGUACUUCGGGAUGUAAAGCUCUAUUAGUAGGGAAGAAAAUGACGGUACCUGAUUAUUAAGCCAUGGCCAACUACGUGCCAGCAGCCGCGGUCAUACGCAGGGGGCAAGCGUUAUCCGGAGUGUCUGGGGGUAAAGGGAGCGUAGACGGCUGCGCAAGUCUGAGGUGAAAUGUCGGGGCUUAACCCCGGAACUGCAUUGGAAACUGGGCAGCUAGAGUGCAUGAGAGGUAAGUGGAAUUCCUGGUGUAGCGGUGAAAUGCGUAGAGAUAAGGAAGAACACCAGUGGCGAAGGCGGCUUACUGGACUGUAACUGACGUUGAGGCUCGAAAGCGUGGGGAGCAAACAGGAUUAGAUACCCGGGUAGUC
rnacentral:rRNA from 1 species